GCAUCGGUGGUUCAGUGGUAGAAUGCUCGCCUGCCACGUGGGCGGCCCAGGUUCGAUUCCCGGCCGAUGCA
rnacentral:tRNA from 1 species